rnacentral:rRNA from 1 species
UAUAGCAAUAGCUACUUGCAUCAUUGUAAAUAUGAUGCAAGAUCGACUAUGUCGAAUAAAAUUCUAGGUAGAAUUAUGAUAAUGACAUUGUCUGCCUAUGUGUCUUGACCAAAUUACGUGCCAGCAGUCGCGGUAAUACGUAGAAGACUAGUGUUAUUCAUGUUUAAUCGGUUUAAAGGGUACCUAGACGGUAAAUCAAGCCUAAAAGGAAAGAAAUGAAGGGACUAAUUUACUAGAGUUACUUAUGAGGGGGUAUUAAAGUACUGCUGGUGUAGAGAUGAAAUUCUGUCAUACCUCUUUUCAAUAGAAAAAUAAUGGCACAGGUAUAGGCGAAAGCAUCCCCUUAUGUGAUAACUGACGUUGAGGGACGAAGGCUUUGUGUAGCGAACAGGAUUAGAUACCCCAGUAGUCAAAGCAGAAAAUGAUGAAUGUCAUAGAUUAGAUAUAUAAGUUUAUUCUAUAAAUGAAAGUGUAAGCAUUCCACCUCAAGAGUAAUUUGGCAACAUUGGAACUGAAAUCAUUAGACCGUUUCUGAAACCAGUAGUGAAGUAUGUUGUUUAAUUUGAUGAUCCGCAAAAAACCUUACCACAAUUUGAAUAUUUAUAUCUUAUAUUGUUUUUUUUUUACUUUAUUCUAAUUUUCUACUUAAAAGAAAACAAUAACAAGAAAAAAGAGACAAUAAGAUAUAUUUUACCAAGCG